GGUUGCCAUUUCCUUCUCUAAUGCAUGUAUGCAUGCUAAGUCGCUUCAGUUGUGUCCGACUCUGUGCCAUCCUAUGGAUAGCAGCUCACCAGGCUCCUCUGUCCACGGGAUUCUCUAGGCAAGAAUACUGGAGUGGGUUGCCAUUUUCUUCUCCUUAUUUUAAGAAGAGGUGAUUUCUAAAAUCUUUCCCCACUCCUUCCCUCCACUGGUCGGACUUUCCAGGGCUUCCAAAGCAUCUUGGGUUUCCUCUGCCUCUGCCUUUUUGCUUUAUGUCUGCAUUACUCCCGGUAGCUUACUUCCGUGAGUUACAGGCAGGCAGCGAGAUUUUGCUUUCUUACGCACAAUACUUACAGUGCCGAAUGAAUGAAUGAACGAAGAAAAUGAACUAGUUGUGCAGGAAAUCAGGAAAUCGUUUGCCCAUCCGGGACCCACCAGCCCCCUGAACACUUUGAAUCUGGGCUGCUCAACGGGUCUAAUAAUUCCCGGUUCCACCUGGCCAACUUAGGGAGGUCCCAGAGGCGCACGGGGCCCGGGGCGCGCCUGGAACGCGCCGCAUUGUUAGGGCGAGGAGGCCAGGUGACCGGCCGGCCAGGGCGCGGCGGCGGCGAUUGCCCGUGCCGCCUCGAGGGGGCCCUGCGGCGGGCGCGGCCGCGAGCCAGGAGGACGGGCCCGCCCGCGCACUGCUCGCGCUGUUCGGAGCCCUGCCUGCUGCGGCCAUCGCCCCGCGGGACCGACCGCGCCGCCGCUCGUCCAGACAUCACCAGCUUCCAUCUCCAUGACGCUGUUCUCUUCCCAGCCUGAUAAAUGAGAUGUGGUGUGCCAGCAGUUCAUAGAUCUCAAGCUGGCUGCUGGGAAUAAAGGUACGUACCUGAGGGUGGCGAUGGUGGGUGGGCUGACAUUAAUUAUUGACUCUGCGUGAGGCUCUGUCAGAGGGUGACUCCAUUGUUUCUUCCUUUGUUUGUUCAUUCACUCCCUCACUUAUUGCUCUCAGGCAGCUAGCGUUUACUGAGUGCCAGCUGUGUCCUGGGAUAUGGUUAACCCUCGCAAACUCAGCUGGGCUUGCUGUGGCUUGAUGGCUGAGACAUCAGCUUGGAUGCAGCAGAACAGCGUGGUGCUGGGGGUCCUUAGGACCAUGGGAUUGGGCUGGUGGAGGUCCUGAGGCCCAUGGGAUUGGGGGAUCCUGAGGACCAUGGGGAUGGUGGAGGUCCUGAGGCCCAUGGGAUUGGGGGGCCCUGAGGACCAUNNNNNNNNNNUGGGGCUGUGGAGGUCCUGGGGACCAUGGGAUUGGGGGACCCUGAGGCCCAUGGGGCUGUGGAGGUCCUGAGGCCCAUAGGAUUGGGUGGUGUUGAGGACCGCGAGUUCAGAGCUGGGGAUCCCUCCAUCAUAGCUCUCAUUGUGUCCAUCUCUAGUUACUUCUGACCAUCUGAUUCUGAAUUCUCACUGUCAUUUUGAGAUUGAGGCCACAUCUGUCCGAGGCUGUCUCUCUUGGGGCCAAGGGGCCCUUUGGCUCUUGUGUGAGAGGCUUUUUUGCCAUCAUUCGGGACCCUGGAAACUUAGCAUCAUCUGAAUCUGUGCUUAAGGGUGAAAGGAAAAGGAGACAGACUGUUAAAGACGUACAGACAAACCCAGUGGAUGGUUGUUGAACUUAAAAGACUGCUUUUCAUCCAACCUCUUUUUUGAAAAUGGUCACAUUGGACAGUUGCAUACCCUUCACCUUGAUUUACUGCAGGUUUUUUUUUUUUUUGCCAUUUUGUCACAUUGCCUGUAUCUCUCUCUAUUUUAGUGAUAUCUCUCUUUAUUUACAUAACUUAUGUGUGUAUCAUGAACUUCACCCAUAAAUACUUUAGCCUGUGUUUCUUGAAAACAAGGACACUUUCCUUUAUCCCUCAACCUCAAGACCAUGAUCACUCUAAGCAAUUUAAUUUUGAUUUGUUGACAUCAGCUAAUGUCCGGUUCUUACUUAGAUUUCCCCAUUGGCCCCCCAAUGUACUUUCUUGCUGUCCUUAAUCUGUUCUGAAUCUCAUCAUGGCUUAUGUGUCACACGGUGUGAUUUUCUCUAUCUGUGCCCUGAAAGUGGGAGCAGGCCACCAGCUUUCUCUAUUUAAUAUUAUUAUUAUUUUUUUUCAUGGCUUUUUCCCCCGAAGACAUUUUUUUAAUUAACUUUUUUUAAAUUUUGAGGUAAUUUUCAGGCAGUUGUAUGAAAUAAUACAGAGAGAUCCUAUGUAUCUUGACCCAGUUUCCUCCUAGGAAAACAUCUUGAAAAGCUGCAGGACUAUGUCACAACCAGGAUGUUGUCAUUGAUAGAGUACAGAACAUUCCAUCCCUACAAGGAUCCUUAUAUGCCCUUUAUAGCCAACCCUACUUCCCAUCCAUCUGCACCAAAACUUCAUCCCAACAGUCACUAAUCUUCAGGUCUGUAGUUUUGACAUUUAAAGAAUGUCACAUAAAUGGGAUCAUACAGUUUGUAAAUUUUUGGAAUUGGCUUCUUCCAGUCAGCAUAGUUCUCUGGAGAUCCAUCCAGGUUGUUGCUCUAUCGGUAGUUCAUUCUGCUUCAUUGCUGAGUGCUGCUCUGUGCUGUGGGUUGAUUACUGUUUCUUCACUGGUUGAAGGUCUUCUCUGCUGAUUUGUGUCUUUAAUCCAUGAACAUGGCAUGUCUCUCCAGUUGUUUAGAUCUUUGAUUUUGUUCACUUAGCUUUGUGUAGAUUUUAGCAUGUAAGUCCUAUAUAAGUUUUGUUAGAUUUACACCCAAGUAGUUACUUUUCUUUGAGUGAUUGUAAAUGGUACUGUAUUUUUCAUUCUGGCCUCCCUGUGAUCAUUGCUAGUACGUGAAAGUGAAGUCACUCAGUCAUGUCCAACUCUUUGUGACCCCAUGGACUGUAGCCUACCAGGCUCCUCCAUCCAUGGGAUUUUCCAGGCAAGAGUACUGGAGUGGGUUGCCAUUUCCUUCUCCAGGAGAUCUUCCCAACCCAAGGAUAAAACCUGGAUCUCCCACAUUGCAGGCAGACGCUUUACUGGCUGAGCCACUAGAGAAGAACAGUACUUAGAAGUACUAUCAACUUAU
ensembl:lncRNA